rnacentral:rRNA from 1 species
GAUUUCUGGGUGACUGUGCUAGCCCGCUCCUUUCCGGGAGUGUGUGCCGGCAUACGUCAUUCAUCCUUCUAGAAAGCCUUGCCUGCCGUUCAUUCGGCCGGGCAUGUGCGGUCUAGAUCUUUUACUUUGAAUAAAUUAGAGUGUUUAAAGCAGGCUUACGCUAUGAAUACACUAGCAUGGAAUAAUAAUAUAGGACUUUGGUUCUAUUUUGUUGGUUUCUAGGACUGAAGUAAUGAUUGAUAGGGAUAGUUGGGGGUGCUAGUAUUGGCCGGUCAGAGGUGAAAUUCUUGGAUUCGGUCAAGACUAACUUAUGCGAAAGCAUU